AUGAUAUCAGAGCUGGAAAGGGUUUUAGAGCUCAUUUAUUCACACUCUUCUUUUUUUUUUUUAGGUGUGGAAACUGAAAGCAAGAGAAAGAAAAUGCUGUGGCCAGUUCCAUAUGGGGAGCUGGAUAGAGACGAGCAAUCAGCCACUAUGUCUGGAUCCGGAAAUCGCUGCUUGUGCAUUGAAAGUGGAUGGCAGUCGUGCACACACACCGUAGAUAAUCCUGAAACUCUACUACUGAGGUUGCUGCUGGGAUUCCCAGUAUUCUCUCCACAUCCUUGAAUGAUUCUUUUGCUAAUAAUUUACCUAUUAGCAUCCCUUUGGCAUCCCUUUGAAUUGGUCCUCUAUGGAACACACUUCGGGAAACUGCACACAUGUUGAUGUGACUGCUGGAAGGGAUCUUUCCUCCUCUUUUGUCGAGUGAUCUUCCUCUGCCUUCAAAAUUCACACUCUUCAGUGUUUUAGGUGGGCAUGCUCUCUUCCCAUGAUGUGCUGUGCGUCAUACCUAUCAGAUAGGCUGUCAUCAGUUGACUUGUCC
rnacentral:lncRNA from 1 species